rnacentral:rRNA from 1 species
UACGUAGGGUGCGAGCGUUAAUCGGAAUUACUGGGCGUAAAGCGUGCGUAGACGGUUAUGUAAGUCAGAUGUGAAAGCCCCGGGCUCAACCUGGGAAUUGCAUUUGAGACUGCAUAGCUAGGGUGCGGAAGAGGGAAGCGGAAUUUCCGGUGUAGCGGUGAAAUGCGUAGAGUAUCGGAAGGAACACCAGUGGCGAAAAGCGGCUUCCUGGUCCAGCACCGACGUCAGGCACGAAAGCGUGGGGAGCAAACAGG